UCUUUUUUCUAUGCUUCUCUCGGAUCAAAUCUUUCCUCUUGCAUGAAGCUCCAACUACAUUUAACAACAAAGAAAUCAAA
rnacentral:sRNA from 1 species